CACAUUUCUCAGAAUUAUAUUAUCAGGAAUGCACGCAUUUCAAAUGAUUCAUAUUUAACUAGAUUACACACUUAAAUCACUUGCUCAAGAGCAACCCCGAGACACCGUUUUAUUUUGAGGAGUUUCUCGUUGACAUUUUUUGCCCUUGCUUUUAUUUUUGAGACAACAUCCCAUGUAUCCCAGACUGCCCUGGAUUCUGCUGCUUCUUCCCAAGGACUUUAAGGCAUGUCACACCAUACUCAACUCUAACGUUGCUAUUGAAAAAUAAGCAUCCUUCUCAAAGAGCUGAACAUAUGUCACCGAAGGGAAUCAAACAUUAAGGCCUUUAUAUUGCUUUCUAAACAACUCAGAGAGAGACUAAAACGAUCAACAAAACCUGGUCAGAAAAGUGAGUCGCUCUGUGGGAGCAAGUGAAGGCAAGGACGAUGGCCAUCAAGUCCUUGGCAUUUAGGAUGGCAUUAUCUUAGCCUCUAAAAUAUUAAAUAGAAAAUUACAGAAGUAAACAACUCAUGCAUCCUAAAUUGCAUGGUGGCCUGAAUAGGGUUUUGAAACCUCACCUUGUGUGUCUUCUCCUGCCUGGGAGGCCUUUCCUUCUGACUGCUCCAUACUGUGUGACACCUGGCCAUUUCAGUGACUAGACCCACUGCUGGAGUAUUGAGACAGGAACUAGCUUCAGUGAGGGCAGGCUGAUGGCGCGCCAUGAGCUACUCAUGUGGGAUUCACGACUCCUUUCUGAAAUAAGCAAAUAACUCUGGAGCUGGCAAGGGAUGUGGAACUCUUACAGGUUUGGGCCAAAAUGCACUAAAAAAAAAAAAAUGACCAGUAACAAUAAAGAUCACCUCAGUUCCCAACCACUUCCUACCAUGAGACCCAUACAGGACACCAGGUCGGGGGCCCUUGGUGCCCCUCUCAUACUCAGGAGGUUUCCCACUUUUCUCUAAUAAAUCCAUAUUUGCUUUGCUCACUCCUUUCCCGUGCUUCCUUAAUCUGGGGUAUGAGAUUAUGAGUUUGGAAUCCAGAGGCUUGAGUGGUUUUGGUAGCUGUUGAAUUUCCAGAACCCUAGUCCUCAGAAAGGACACCAAGAGCCUAAAAAACUCUGUUGAACUCAACACAAAUCGCUAACCCAGUUCUUAUGUUCAAGUAUUAUCCUGCUUCAUGAAGGCGAGGGGCCAGCAAGGUGACCCACUGGGUGAAAAUGUGGUCCCAAGCCUGAUAGCCUAAGCUGGCACGUGUGCUUACACAAUAUCACACACAUGCCUGCACACACAAGCACAUACACAUGCACACACACAUGCACACACACACCAACAUGCAUACACACACAUAUGCUCCUCUUCACCCCCCACUACCCUUCCUCCAACACGACCACACCUCUUUAUAGUGCCACUCACUCCCUGGGCCAAGCAUAUUCAAACCACUACAAUGUCCUUUCCUGAGUGGGGGACUUCUUUACUGUGUUUUGCUCUAUACAAGUACACCUGUAACAAAUUAACUUACAAUUUAUACAUGAGAAUAAUGAGUUAGAAACAUGGCUCAGUAGCUCAGAGUGCUGGCCAGUAUUGCAGAGGGCCUAAGUGUUAUUCCCAGCACCCACACUGGGCAGUUCACAACCACUGCCAUUGGGCGAUAGCUCCAGUUCCAGAGGAUCCAAUGCCCUCUGCUCCCCUUUGUCCAGCACUUGUGCUCACGGCUCAUGUGUGCAUUCUCUGUCUGUUCCUCAGCCCCAACCCCCAAAGAGAUAAAAAAAUAAAUAUUUA
rnacentral:lncRNA from 1 species